rnacentral:tRNA from 1 species
UAGAUUAAAGCUCGUAGAUUGAGUGUUUAGCUGUUAACUAAAAAGUCGUGGGGUAAAAGCCCGCUAAUCUAG